GAUGAACGCUAGCUACAGGCUUAACACAUGCAAGUCGAGGGGCAGCAUUUUAGUUUGCUUGCAAACCGAAGAUGGCGACCGGCGCACGGGUGAGUAACACGUAUCCAACCUGCCGAUAACUCCGGGAUAGCCUUUCGAAAGAAAGAUUAAUACCGGAUAGUAUACGAAUAUCGCAUGAUAUUUUUAUUAAAGAAUUUCGGUUAUCGAUGGGGAUGCGUUCCAUUAGUUUGUUGGCGGGGUAACGGCCCACCAAGACUACGAUGGAUAGGGGUUCUGAGAGGAAGGUCCCCCACAUUGGAACUGAGACACGGUCCAAACUCCUACGGGAGGCAGCAGUGAGGAAUAUUGGUCAAUGGGCGCGAGCCUGAACCAGCCAAGUAGCGUGAAGGAUGAAGGCUCUAUGGGUCGUAAACUUCUUUUAUAUGGGAAUAAAGUUUUCCACGUGUGGAAUUUUGUAUAUACCAUAUGAAUAAGGAUCGGCUAACUCCGUGCCAGCAGCCGCGGUAAUACGGAGGAUCCGAGCGUUAUCCGGAUUUAUUGGGUUUAAAGGGAGCGUAGGUGGAUUGUUAAGUCAGUUGUGAAAGUUUGCGGCUCAACCGUAAAAUUGCAGUUGAAACUGGCAGUCUUGAGUACAGUAGAGGUGGGCGGAAUUCGUGGUGUAGCGGUGAAAUGCUUAGAUAUCACGAAGAACUCCGAUUGCGAAGGCAGCUCACUAGACUGUCACUGACACUGAUGCUCGAAAGUGUGGGUAUCAAACAGGAUUAGAUACCCUGGUAGUCCACACAGUAAACGAUGAAUACUCGCUGUUUGCGAUAUACAGUAAGCGGCCAAGCGAAAGCAUUAAGUAUUCCACCUGGGGAGUACGCCGGCAACGGUGAAACUCAAAGGAAUUGACGGGGGCCCGCACAAGCGGAGGAACAUGUGGUUUAAUUCGAUGAUACGCGAGGAACCUUACCCGGGCUUAAAUUGCAACAGAAUAUAUUGGAAACAGUAUAGCCGUAAGGCUGUUGUGAAGGUGCUGCAUGGUUGUCGUCAGCUCGUGCCGUGAGGUGUCGGCUUAAGUGCCAUAACGAGCGCAACCCUUAUCUUUAGUUACUAACAGGUUAUGCUGAGGACUCUAGAGAGACUGCCGUCGUAAGAUGUGAGGAAGGUGGGGAUGACGUCAAAUCAGCACGGCCCUUACGUCCGGGGCUACACACGUGUUACAAUGGGGGGUACAGAAGGCGGCUACCUGGUGACAGGAUGCUAAUCCCAAAAACCUCUCUCAGUUCGGAUCGAAGUCUGCAACCCGACUUCGUGAAGCUGGAUUCGCUAGUAAUCGCGCAUCAGCCAUGGCGCGGUGAAUACGUUCCCGGGCCU
rnacentral:rRNA from 1 species